UACCAGACUCCUACGGGAGGCAGCAGUGGGGAAUAUUGGGCAAUGGGCGCAAGCCUGACCCAGCAACGCCGCGUGAAGGAAGAAGGCUUUCGGGUUGUAAACUUCUUUUAUGAGGGACGAAACAAAUGACGGUACCUCAUGAAUAAGCCACGGCUAACUACGUGCCAGCAGCCGCGGUAAUACGUAGGUGGCAAGCGUUAUCCGGAUUUAUUGGGUUUAAAGGGUGCGCAGGCGGAUUUUUAAGUCAGCGGUCAAAUCGUGGGGCUCAACCCCAUCCAGCCGUUGAAACUGGGGAUCUAGAGUGUGCGAGAGGUAUGCGGAAUGCGUGGUGUAGCGGUGAAAUGCAUAGAUAACACGCAGAACCCCGAUUGCGAAGGCAGCAUACCGGUGCACAACUGACGCUCAGGCACGAAAGCGUGGGUAUCGAACAGGAUUAGAUACCCGCGUAA
rnacentral:rRNA from 1 species